rnacentral:rRNA from 1 species
AGAGUUUGAUCAUGGCUCAGGAUGAACGCUGGCGGCGUGCCUAACACAUGCAAGUCGAACGGAGAUUUAACGCUGAUGAGGCUUCGGCCAAGUCUUGUUAAAUCUUAGUGGCGGACGGGUGAGUAACGCGUGGGCAACCUGCCUCAUACUGGGGGAUAGCAGUUGGAAACGACUGAUAAUACCGCAUAAGCGCACGGUGUCGCAUGACACAGUGUGAAAAACUCCGGUGGUAUGAGAUGGGCCCGCGUCAGAUUAGCUAGUUGGUAAGGUAACGGCUUACCAAGGCGACGAUCUGUAGCCGGACUGAGAGGUCGGACGGCCACAUUGGGACUGAGACACGGCCCAAACUCCUACGGGAGGCAGCAGUGGGGGAUAUUGCACAAUGGAGGAAACUCUGAUGCAGCGACGCCGCGUGAGUGAAGAAGUAUUUCGGUAUGUAAAGCUCUAUCAGCAGGGAAGAAAGACUCGCAAGAGAGAUGACGGUACCUGACUAAGAAGCCCCGGCUAACUACGUGCCAGCAGCCGCGGUAAUACGUAGGGGGCAAGCGUUAUCCGGAUUUACUGGGUGUAAAGGGAGCGCAGACGGUUAUGCAAGUCUGAAGUGAAACCCCACGGCUCAACCGUGGGCUUGCUUUGGAAACUGUAUAACUAGAGUACUGGAGAGGUAAGCGGAAUUCCUAGUGUAGCGGUGAAAUGCGUAGAUAUUAGGAGGAACAUCGGUGGCGAAGGCGGCUUACUGGACAGCAACUGACGUUGAGGCUCGAAGGCGUGGGGAGCAAACAGGAUUAGAUACCCUGGUAGUCCACGCGGUAAACGAUGAAUACUAGGUGUUGGGAACCAUAGGUUUUCAGUGCCGUCGCUAACGCAGUAAGUAUUCCACCUGGGGAGUACGUUCGCAAGAAUGAAACUCAAAGGAAUUGACGGGGACCCGCACAAGCGGUGGAGCAUGUGGUUUAAUUCGAUGAUACGCGAGGAACCUUACCCGGGCUCGAACGGCAAGUGAAGGAUACAGAGAUGUUGACGUCCUUCGGGACACUUGUCGAGGUGCUGCAUGGUUGUCGUCAGCUCGUGCCGUGAGGUGUCGGCUUAAGUGCCAUAACGAGCGCAACCCUUGCCAUUAGUUACCAGCACGUAAAGGUGGGGACUCUAGUGGGACUGCCACCGUAAGGUGAGAGGAGGGGGGGGAUGACGUCAAAUCAGCACGGCCCUUACGUCCGGGGCGACACACGUGUUACAAUGGUGGGUACAGAGGGCAGCUACCUGGCGACAGGAUGCAAAUCUCGAAAACCCAUCUCAGUUCGGAUCGGAGUCUGCAACUCGACUCCGUGAAGUUGGAUUCGCUAGUAAUCGCGCAUCAGCCAUGGCGCGGUGAAUACGUUCCCGGGCCUUGUACACACCGCCCGUCAAGCCAUGAAAGCUGGGGGUGCUUGAAGUCCGUGACCGAAAGGAGCGGCCUAGGGCAAAACUGGUAAUUGGGGCUAAGUCGUAACAAGGUAGCC